rnacentral:snoRNA from 1 species
GCUCAGUGAAGGCAGACUGCCCAGGUUCAAAUCCAGGUUCCACCACACAUUAGCCUUGUAUUCCUGGGCAAGUUAAUUAACUUCUCUUAGCUUCAGUUUUCUUAUCUGAGAAAUGAGGAUAAUAAUACUUAUGUCAUAAGGUUACUGGGAGUUUUA